rnacentral:lncRNA from 1 species
AGAGCGGACGCCGAGGCCGAGGAGGCGCCGAGAGCGAGUGAGAGCUGCUAGCCAGUUGUCACCUCUCACAGAGAGGUCCACAUUUGCUGAAAUGUAACUCUUAUCUCAUGCACUGGGAGUGAUGAACUUCACUAGGAAAUCAUCGUUCUUUCUGGUGCCUAUUGACUUCUCACAUUGUUGCCACUAUAACGCGGAUACAAGCUGAAACUCACAAUUGUUAUGUUUUGAAACUUGCUAAGGAAUUAGACGAUAUAAGCUGCAGCUCAGAAUCAGAGCCUACUCAACUUGAAGAUGGUGAGAAUGAAGACCUUUAUGAUCAUCCACUUCUACUUGUUGAAUAGUAAAUAUAUUUUUUCCUUAUGGUUUUCUUAAUAACA